ACAGGUAACUCCAAUUCCACUGCUUUCUGCAACAGCCUACCCACUGCCAAUGUUUAUUACUUUCAAAAACACUGGCUUUUCCACCACCAUUGGACAGAUUGCAAGCCAGAAUCUUCAGGUGCAUCACACACUCUGGCAGGAAAGUUUAAUUGGUGUGCCUCGGAGAGACAUGAUCAUCAUGGCCGCACGUGCUCUCGCAAGCCUUUACAAAGCCCGACUUCCACCAAACCAUUAACACACACACACACACCCA